rnacentral:snRNA from 1 species
AUACUUACCUGGCACAGGAGAUACCGUGAUCACGAAGGCGGUUCUCCCAGGGCGAGGCUCACCAUUGCACUCCGGUGGCGCUGACCCCUGCGAUUAACCCAAAUGUGGUUUAACUCGAGUGCGCAAUUUGUUUAGUGGGGACUGCGUUCGCGCUAUCCCCC